rnacentral:rRNA from 1 species
UACGAAGGGGGCGAGCGUUGUUCGGAUUUACUGGGCGUAAAGGGCGCGUAGGCGGCUCAUUUUGUCAGCCGUGAAAGCCCCGGGCUUAACCUGGGAACUGCGUUUGAUACGGAUGGGCUAGAGUUCGGGAGAGGAGAGUGGAAUUCCCAGUGUAGAGGUGAAAUUCGUAGAUAUUGGGAAGAACACCGGUGGCGAAGGCGGCUCUCUGGACCGAUACUGACGCUGAGGCGCGAAAGCGUGGGGAGCAAACAGG